GGGCUGAAGCAGGUCCCAAGGGUUGGUCUGUUCGCCCAUUAAAGCGGUACGCGAGCUGGGUUUAAAACGUCGUGAGACAGUUUGGUCCCUAUCCUCCGUGGGUGUUGGAUAUCUGAGGGGAUCUGCUCCUAGUACGAGAGGACCGGAGUGGACGAACCUCUAGUGUUCUGGUUGUGGCGCCAGCUGCAUUGCCAGGUAGCUAUGUUCGGUCAGGAUAACCGCUGAAAGCAUCUAAGCGGGAAACCAACCCCAAAACUAGAUAUCCCUUCUUCCUUCGGGAAGGCUAAAGACUCCUCGAAGACUACGAGGUCGAUAGGCCGGAUGUGUAAGCACAGUAAUGUGUUCAGCUAACCGGUACUAAUCAGUCGUGCGGCUUGACCUUA
rnacentral:rRNA from 1 species